CACCCCAACAACUACAGUUAUUUUCACAUAAGCCCUCGCAAUGUUCCAAAGACGACACCGUUUUAUACCCCAUUAAUUCUUUAAACGGUAAAUCCACCCCUUUCCUUCUCAAAACGCGGAAGUCGUUUUUGGUUUUAGUUUCUCCGUUGCUGCAAAGGUCACCGGACUGAACAGCAAGGCACUCACCAGAACUAAACUCCGUGCGAUUAUCCAAGCAGGAACAACCCGACCCGGGUUGGCAAAAACCGUAGGAACCGCAGGGACUAGGCAAAUCGCACAUGGCAGAAAUCGCCUGGUAAUCCAAUGCCCAGGUGGAUCCAUCCCAAAAGUAUCCUUUUAGGUUUCCGUCCGAUUCUAAUCGGACUAAGAGGAAUCGGUUGAUGGGUUGCUGAUAGCUGUUAAAAGGUUGAAC
rnacentral:misc_RNA from 1 species